GGGUGUCUCCAUCCCUCUCGGCCAGUAUGUGGUGACUUCCUACCAAAGGCCACCAGGGGAGUAUGGCCAAACCCGGCUUUCCAACACUGCAGGAAAUGUUUCAAGCCUAAAAAGCCACUUGUAGGAUUAUCGGAUUCAUUCCCGGCACCGCUGCCAAGUGAUGCCCCGCAGUGCCAACAUCCUUCUCAGCUCUUUGUCCCCACGUUGCCCGGCUGUGCUCGGGCGCUAGCCCCACCCUGGGGCCGAGGCAGUUCCCCUUCCCCUGGGCUGUCCUCCCAAGUCACACCCAGAGGCCUGGGUCAGCGGCUCCUCCUCCCCCCCACACCCGCGCCGGGCCGUGGGCGCGAGCCCUCGCGCUGGUCCGUGGGAGCGAGCCCCGGCAGAAGCUGCGCCCCGGCCACGCUCACUCCAGCCCUCUGCCCACGUCCCUCGUGGGGGUCAGCUCUCGAGGCGCAGCCAGCCAGGCUGGGGAGUUCCGCGGCCCUCACCCCCGCCCCGGGCCUCCCGUCCCGUCCGUCCCUCACCGGGCGGAGGCUGGGCGGGCGACGGUGGCACCGGCGGGCGCGGGCCGCUGCUGUUGAUGAUGUAGUGGGAGACGCGCGGGUUCUCGGAGACGCUGAGCACAUAGUCCCCGGGGCUAGUGCUCGAGUCCCGCACCAGGAACACCCCGUGCCGCUGGCCCUGCAACAGCGCCACCGCCUCCUGCCGACUCAGCCGCUCCCCGUACCAGCUACUCCGCUCCUCCGAGUCGAAGUUGCCCGCCAUGGCCACCUCCGUGCCUACACGCUGGGCCGCCGCCGCCGCCGCCGCGCGCGCCCCUCCAGCCCCGGCCCCCGCCGCCCAGCGGACCGGCUCGGGUCUCAGCCUCACAGCAGCGCCCGAAAUGGCGGCGGCGGCCGCGGGCCUUCCCCACCGGAAAUGACGUGCUCCUGGCCCCCGGGAGGAUGCCGGGAAGGGAACCACCGCCCGCCAUUGGGAGAAGGGCAAGUGACAGAUCGUGAGCGCACUGCGCAUGCGGCCUCUUGGGCGUCGCCGCCUGGCUGGGACUGGGACUGCAGAGGGUGAGGGGGAGUCCAGGACCGAGGGGCGGGGCUUCAGCUACCAGUAGGCUGUUGGCGACGGGGUUCUUUGCUCCUCCAGGUUUCAAGUUACUGGAAGGCCCAGGCUUCUAGGCAGCGACUAGGGUACAGAAUUAGAGCAGAAAAGGUGAUGUGGCCCCAGGGCCUGUGUUUCCUGAGAUUGUCUUUUUCUGAUGGUUCCUCCAGCUUCUCCCCACGCCUGCUGAAGUUCUUGUUUUCACUGAUUCAUUCAGCAAACAGUUGACACCACAUUUGCCCCGAGGGUGCAAAGGUCAUCAAGGGCGAGCCCUUCCCUCACCGAAUUCGCAGACCAGUGGGAGAAACCAGGAAACAGUCUAUGAAGAAGGCGUGCCAAGUGAUACGAUGGGGAAGGGGCAAGGGGCUUUAGGAACACAUAGCAGAGCCCCCUAAUCCAUUCUGUAGGGGAAUCCAGGAGGGCUUGCACUGAAUAUUGAAUGGCAAUCAGGGAAGAGCAUUCAAGACAAAGGGGACAGAGUGUGCCAAGCCAGGUGGAAGUAUGGAGUUCCCUCUGUUUAGGCUCUCAAGACACCUACCCAGACUCUCUAAACUCUAACUGUGGCCAUGGGUAGCCUCGGCUCUCCCUGCUGUCAGGACCAUUUAUACCUUUACAUCCCAUAUCUAUUUUUGUAUUCCUGUGACAGCCUGCUCACUGGUGUUCUAUAGUCUUGCUGCCCUUAAUUGUAUAGCACACAUCUGCCAGUUUGCACUUUCUCAAUUAUAGCUCUGAGUCAGCUGCUAUUCUGUAUAAAACUUUUAACAACCUCCAGGUGUUAGAACUCCCCAUUUACCUCACAGCAUACAACCAAGCCACCGUCUCAUCUUCACCACCUCUACAUGAACCUUGUGUUUCUUCUCUCUGGAAUGCCCCUCCACUCCUUUUGGGAUCUCAGUGACAAAAGUCUCCCCUUUCCUGACCAUCACAUCACUCCCUCUCUGUAUGUACAGCCCUAUUUCCUUAUUAUCUUUAUUAUGGUUCUUAACCACUGUACCGUAAUCUUUCAUUUACAAGUCUGUAUGCCAUGGUAGACCUCAAAGGCCAAGCAUCUACUGUAGGAGGCACUCCAUAAUCAUUUCGUAAUAACAGCUAACAUUUAUUCAGGAAAUAGUACCUGCCAGGCAUAGUGCUAACUGCCCUUAGAUGGAUCAUUUCAUUUAAUCCUAUCAACAACCUUAUGGAUUGGUCCCAUUUAACCAAUGAAGCUGAAAUGAUGCUGAAGCUGAAACUCCAGUACUUUGGCCACCUCAUGCGAAGAGUUGACUCAUUGGAAAAGACUCUGAUGCUGGGAGGGAUUGGGGGCAGGAGAAAGGGACGACCGAGGAUGAGAUGGCUGGAUGGCAUCAUGGACUCGAUGGAUGUGAGUCUGAGUGAACUCCGGGAGAUGAUGAACAGGGAGGCUUGGCGUGCUGCGAUUCAUGGGGUCGCAAAGAGUCAGACACGACUGAGCAACUGAACUGAACUGAACCAAUGAAGCUCAGAGGGGUUAGGUGACUUGUCCAGAGAUAGAUAGCUGCUGUUGGGAUCUGGGAUUCAAAUCCUGGAAGGAGACGAGAGCUAUGAUCACUCUGCUGUGUCCUCAGACUUCUGAGGAUAGGAAAGGCAGGAGAUGGGUGGGGAGAGUAGAGGAAGGAUGGCAGAAAUAAACAUUUUUUAAAAAUCAGUCAGCCCUGGGUUUUAUGGUCUUCUAUGAAUAACACACCUCUUUCAGACCCACUUCACAUGCCCCUGGGCCUGCUCUGGGAAGGGGUGGAGAGCAAGGGCAUCUUCCCUGAUGUGGGUGACUCAUCAGGACCCUGGCUUAGUCACAGCAUGUCACCACAAGCCAGCAGAAGAAGCCAGGCCAGGGUGAAGUCUGGUCCUUUGGGAAGAGAAGUGCCUGCUUUUCAUUUCCCCAGGAUGACUGGCCUUUGGGGCAGGACCUUACCAUGGACUGCCAUGGGGGUCUGAAGCAGUGCCUCUAAGCCCCCUUUCUAGCACACAUGGCAUGACAAAACAAAAUACCUUAAAAGAGAGAAAAAGAAAGAGGAGACGAAAAGAAAGAGGGAGGGAGGAGAGAACAAAUCAUAACUAAGCUGAAAAACAGGCAAGGAUAUUGGUAAGGAGGGGAUGAAAAAGUGAAAGUGUUAGUCGCUCUUUGGAACUACAUGGAUUGUAGCCCGCCAGGCUUCUCUGUCCAUGGAAUUCUUCAGGCAAGAAUACUGGAGUGGGUAGCCAUUCCCUUCUCCAGGGGAACUUCCUAACCCAGGAAAUGAACACGGAUCUCCUGCACUGCACGCAGGUUCUUUACCGUCUGAGCCACCAGGAAAGGAAGGGAUGCCUAGCACCAGGCAGCCGUUAAGUGUAUUCUGCCUCGGAUCACAGAGAACCUACAAAUUCAGCUAGCACCAGGCAGCCGUUAAGUGUAUUCUGCUUCGGAUCACAGGCCAGCGAGGUGGGAGCGGGAGUGGCCUUGGGACAAAAAAAGGGCAAACGCUACUGCCCUUCCCUCCUUUCUCUUCUCCUCCUCCUCCUCUCCCCUUAAUUCAGAAAGAUUUACAGCUAAGGUGGUGGCUUUUGCCCCUUGAUAAGUCUGAGAUCUGCCCUACAAAGAAUGUAAAGAAUGUGACCUUCUUGUGCAAGAUGCUCCUGGAGUUGCCUGAAGGAGCAGCAGAGAUGAAAGGGGAAAAGAAAGAGAAGGCUUCCCUAGUUCAAGAGAAAACCACAUCAAGGUCCUCCACUCCCUCCCCUCUAACCGAAGAAAGGCGUUCCUGGGAAUUCCCUGGCUAUCCAGUGGUUUGGACUCUGUAUUUUCACUGUGGAGAAAGGCACUAUUUUAGCAAAGGACCAGGAGCAGGAGUUCAAGGAUCUAUUUGCCUGCCUGUGUCUGUGUCUCCUAAAGUCAUGAGAGUUGCCUCAUACAGCUGUGCAAGUUGUGCCCUGCAUAAUUCAAGGGUACUAUAUAAAAUGAAACCCUCCGGAGUUGGGUUACUCACUCACUUUUCCUUUAAAAAAAAAAAAGUAUUCCUGUAACAAAAAUUGCUAUAUACAGAGAAAAUGGCAGUAUCACCUUGAAAAAUGUGUAUGAGAGAAAGGGAGAGAUAAAGUUUGGUAUAUGUAUAGGCACCAUUUGUACUGGUGGGAAAAUACAUUUCUGCCUAGUUCUCAUCCACAGAUGGAGACAAGUAGAGAGAAAGGAGACAGAAAAACUCCCAAGUCUCAAGAAAAAAAAAAAAAUUCCCAAGUCUCUGCUGGAGUUUUUGAAUUAUGAGGAAGAGAGAUUCCCCACCGCUCACCCCCUACCAGUGGGUAGCCCUUAGUUUUGCAAAGACAAGGAUCUGUCUUAAGCUAUGCAAAGGUAGGAUCUAGAGGCAGCUCUGCAGAGGGAAGCCAAGGGAUUGCAAGGCAGGGGGAGGGGAGGAGAGCAUGCUGGGAACCAAGGCAGGAGGUGGGACCUUCCUUUUGUUGUUGAGUCACUUAGUUGUGUCCGGCUCCUUGCAACCCCAUGGACUACCUACAGCAUGCCAGGCUACCCUAUCCUUCACCAUCUCCUGGAGUUUGCUCAUACUCAUGUCCAUUGAGUCGGUGAUGCCAUCCAACCAUCUCGUACUCUCUCGUGCCUUCUCCUCCUGCCCUCAAUCUUUCCCAGCAUCAGGGUCUUUUCCAGUGAGUCAGCGCUUCACAUCAGGUGACCAAAGGAUUGGAGCUUCAGCUUCAGCAUCAGUCUUUCCAAUGAACACCCAGGACUGAUCUCCUUUAGGAUGGACUGUUUGGAUCUCCUUGCAGACCAAGGGACUCUCAAGAGUCUUCUCCAGCACCACAGUUGGGAGCUUCCCAGAGAGGUCAGUGAGAUAUUCCCUGGGGCGACGACAUGCUUCGGGGCUUUUGAGACUCAUUCAUCUGCUUUGCUUCAGUGUAAGUCCCUCUGAUUGUCCCACUAUUUAGAAGAGCUGCUCACACAGAUACCUUUGCAGGGAGAAAUCAAGGUGUCUGGAGUUCCCUGGUGGGCCAGUGGUUAGAGCUCUGUGCCUCCAGGGCAGAAAACUGGGAUCCUGCAUGCUAUGUGACAUGGCCAAAAAAAAAUAAAGAGAGAGAGGGAGAGGGUGCCAUCUUCCUUGUCUCCAUCUUCAUGGAGCUGAGAAAAAUCGCAGACAUCUGAAGCAGGCGAGAGGCAAGUGUGCCUGACUUCUCUUCUGCUCUUCUCCUCCUGCCCACUCCUUUCUGGCCCCACUAACCUUUCUCUUCCCCUUUGCUUUGAUUUGCUGUUCUCUCUACCCAGACGUCCGUGGUCAUUCCCUCAGAGAUCUCCUUC
ensembl:lincRNA